rnacentral:tRNA from 1 species
AGGGGGAUAGCUCAGUGGUAGAGCGUGUGGUUAGCAUGCAGGAGGCCCUGGGUUCAAUUCCCAGUACCUCCA